GGGCCCGCACAAGCGGUGGAGUAUGUGGUUUAAUUCGAUGCAACGCGAAGAACCUUACCAGGGCUUAAAUGUAGUCUGACGUACUUGGAAACAGGUAUUUCUUCGGACAGAUUACAAGGUGCUGCAUGGUUGUCGUCAGCUCGUGCCGUGAGGUGUCAGGUUAAGUCCUAUAACGAGCGCAACCCCCUGUGGUUAGUUGCCAGCGAGUCAAGUCGGGAACUCUAGCCAGACUGCCGGUGCAAACCGUGAGGAAGGUGGGGAUGACGUCAAGUCCUCAUGGGCCCCUUACACGCGGGCUACACACGUGCUACAAUGGCAGUGACAAUGGGAUAAUCCCAAAAAGCUGUCUC
rnacentral:rRNA from 1 species